rnacentral:misc_RNA from 1 species
GAUGAAGAACGUAGCGAAAUGCGAUACUUGGUGUGUAUUGCAGAAUCCCGUGAACCAUCGAGUCUUUGAACGCAAGUUGCGCCCGAAGCCGUCAGGCCGAGGGCACGCCUGCCUGGGCGUCACACGCCGUUGCCCCCCCGCGCCCCGCACCCAACGCUUUGGGAGCGACCGCGGGGCGGGCUGAUGAUGGCCUCCCGUGCGCUCCGCCGCGCGGUUGGCCCAAAUACCGAGUCCCCGGCGACGUGCGCCACGACGAUCGGUGGUUGAGAGACCUCUGUCGCAAGUCGUGCGCGCCCGUCGCGUCACGCGGGCUCGCAUAGCGCCUCGCGCCGCACCCGGUGCGGAGCUUUCAACGCGACCCCAGGUCAGGCGGGGUUACCCGCUGAAUUUAAGCAUAUCAAUAAGCGGAGGA